AGCCCUGUGACUUAAAAGUUUAACGGCCGCGGUAUUUUGACCGUGCAAAGGUAGCAUAAUCACUUGUCUUUUAAAUGGGGACCAGUAUGAAUGGCAUAACGAGGGCCAAACUGUCUCCUUUUUCUAGUCAAUGAAAUUGAUCCCCCCGUGCAGAAGCGGGGAUAUUAGCAUAAGACGAGAAGACCCUAUGGAGCUUCAGACACAAGACAGCCCAUGUUAAAAACCCAAAACAAUGGCACAAACAAAAUGGAUUCUGUCCUUAUGUCUUUGGUUGGGGCGACCGUGGAGUAACAAAAAACCCCCAUGUGGAACAAGGACUACCCCUUUAAAAUAAGAGCCACAGCUCCUGAAAACAGAACAUCUGGCCAUAAAGAUCCAGCAAAGCUGAUCAACGGACCAAGUUACCCUAGGGAUAACAGCGCAAUCCCCUUUUAGAGCCCAUAUCGACAAGGGGGUUUACGACCUCGAUGUUGGAUCAGGACAUCCUAAUGGUGCAGCCGCUAUUAAGGGUUUGUUUGUUCAACAAUUAAAGUCCUACGUGAU
rnacentral:rRNA from 1 species